rnacentral:rRNA from 1 species
UACGUAGGGUGCGAGCGUUAAUCGGAAUUACUGGGCGUAAAGCGUGCGCAGGCGGUUGUGCAAGACAGAUGUGAAAUCCCCGGGCUUAACCUGGGAAUGGCCUUUGUGACUGCACGGCUAGAGUGUGUCAGAGGGGGGGUAGAAUUCCACGUGUAGCAGUGAAAUGCGUAGAGAUGUGGAGGAAUACCGAUGGCGAAGGCAGCCCCCUGGGAUAACACUGACGCUCAUGCACGAAAGCGUGGGGGAGCAAACAGG